UGCUCGCCUACUUGGAAGCUUCUCUCGUGCUUGACCUCUUUGACCAGCCGCUCGCCAGCAGGUGCAGCCGUGCAGGUAAAGAUGGCAGCGGCCGUGGUGCCCGCGGAUACUACCUUCUUACGUCCGCGCUAGCUAGCUAAGGAAGUUUAGCAAGUGUGAUAUCGGAUGUUUGAAUAUUAAUUAAAAAUAUUAAAUAUAU
rnacentral:lncRNA from 1 species